AAUAGAUACCCGGGUAGUCCACGCCCUAAACGAUGCAUAUUUGGUGUAGGUCAUUCAGUUGAUCUGUGCCGGAGCUAACGCGUUAAAUAUGCCGCCUGGGGAGUACAGUCGCAAGGCUGAAACUCAAAGGAAUUGACGGGGGCCCGCACAAGCGGUGGAGCAUGUGGUUCAAUUCGACGCAACGCGAAGAACCUUACCUGGGCUCGAACGGCUGGUCAACGAUCGUGGAAACACGGUUACUCCGCAAGGAGGUCCAGUCGAGGUGCUGCAUGGCUGUCGUCAGCUCGUGUCGUGAGAUGUUGGGUUAAGUCCCGCAACGAGCGCAACCCUUGUCCUGUGUUGCCAUCCCGCAAGGGGGGACUCGCAGGAGACCGCCAGCGAUAAGCUGGAGGAAGGUGGGGAUGACGUCAAGUCCUCAUGGCCUUUAUGUCCAGGGCUACACACGUGCUACAAUGGCCGGUACAAAGCGCAGCUAAGUCGCGAGACGGAGCCAAUCGCAAAAAACCGGUCUCAGUUCGGAUU
rnacentral:rRNA from 1 species